rnacentral:misc_RNA from 1 species
UGAUCCAGAGUCUUCUGGUGAAAUGGAUGAUCCGCAGCGAAGCCCCUGCUGUUUAUCGAGCAAAUCGAAACAUGGGGAACGUUCACAGACUAAGUGGAAGUGGGUGGAGCCAUAAGCUCUGCUUAAGAUAUAGUCGGGCCCCUUGGGAAACUUUGGGGAUGUUAAACCGUUCCGUAGGUGAACCUGCGGAAGGAUCAUUACCAUGGCGUGAGAAGGUGAUGGACAUACUGGUAACCCCAGGAGUUAAUCCCUUCACGCUCUUCUACCCUUGUCUAUUUGUACCCUUUGUCGUUCCCUCGGCGGGUCUUGAACCUGCCGGCGGCAACUUUCAAAACCUCUUGCAGUAGUAUCUAAUUCUUCUGAUUCAAAUAUCAAAUUAUUACAACUUUCAACAAUGGAUCUCUUGGUUCUG